GCAGACAGCUUCACUGUUGGGUGACUGAAAGCACUUUAUCAUUAUGCUUCCUCAAGAUCGAGGGGCUUCAGGACAGUGAACAUGCUGGAGCACAAUGGCGCGAUCUUGGUUCACUGCAACCUCCAUCUCCUGGGUUCAAGCGAUUCUCCUGGCUCAGCCUCCCGAGUAGUUGGAAUUACAGCCCCAGAUUGAGGAGAUCACAUCCCAACCAGGGCCUGCGCACAGGGCUUCAAGGAAAUGACCAGCAGCAAAGUGACCGAGGUGCACAGCGAAGCCAGAAUCAAUGCAGAAGAUUGGGAGACAUCUACUUUCAGCUUCCAAGUAACCACCUUACUGGGGGUGAAAGACAGAAACAUCUGCUUUCUCCCUAUGUCCUAGAUAAAGGGGAGACGGGUGCUAGUUCAUAGGUUACAUUAAGUUUUCUUCUUAAAGAGGUGUUUGCAUUGUUUUGAAAUGUUUGAAAACUCUCUAAAUUGAAUGAAUUCAUAAGUUCCUUCCUGCUAUAAGUGGCCUAUUUCAGCCCUAAUCCUCCUGGCCUUGGGAAGUUUAGCAGCACCAAUCACUUCUUCUCUCCAGCUUCUAACCGGUUGGAGAAACGUGCACAAGGAGCCUGAAGAUGAUAAAAGGACAGUGCCAGCUUUACUACCAGUAAAGCUGAAUGGGGAAGAAAAUAAAUUCCCACCCCCUUGGAAAGGCCUGGUUGCCCUAUAGCCAUAUCAAUAAGUGGCACUCAGAACCAGUUUGGAACCUGGUCAAGCCAGCAACAACAAUUUGCUUUGGUGAAGAGCUUUUACAAGUUGUUUACAAUCAGCAUUAGCUGCUUACUUCUGAAAGCCAGCCAAUCACAGACUCACCUCAAUAAAUACACUAUAGUGACAACCAAUUACCAAUAGCCUCAUCUGUGUACCCACACCUCUGCGGAUGAUGUUGAAGCUCUUAAGCCUCUGCAACUUCGCCAGUCACUGAACUUCACACUUCCGUGAGACUCUAUAUAAAUUAGCGGUCUGCUCCAAGAGACUGUACUUCCUUUGCUAUGCUUAACAAUCCAUUCGAUUUUGUCUUUUUUAUUUUUAGUAUGGGAUGAUAGUCUCAUCAUACUUUGAUACCCUGAACCUCAGAAUCUGCAUGAAUAUAACCUCUCCAACCAAAUCCAGGUAGAGAAGUUUAAUUGGCUAACUAAACUUCAUAUUUUAACUACAUAGAAGAGGCCAAGAGGGCCCUGGCAUCCUCUUAGUGAUAUGAACAGCUGGUAGGGGAAGAGAGAGAAUAAGAGGAAUCCUGGUUUUCACUGUCCAAGGAGUGGGAAGUCCACUGGACUCUCUCUCUCCAUCUUACCAGCAUGUUAGUUACUUCUCAGGGGAGGGAGGAUGAGGAAGAGGAAAGAUGAGGGGAUGGAGAGAGGAGGUGGAAAUAAUAUUUCAAAAUGGUUUACUAUGGUGUGAAUGUUUGCAUUUCCCCAAAAUUCAUAUGUUAAAAUCCUAACCCCAAAGGUAUGAUAUUUAAGAGGUGGGGCCUGUGGGAGGAAAGUACAUUAUGAGGGUGGAGCCUUCGUGAUUGGGAUUAAUGUCCUUAUAGAAGAGACCCCAGAAAGCUAUAUAGCCCCUUCCACAGCGUGAAGACACAGCAAGAAGACAUCAUCUAUGAAGCAGAAAGCCCUUGCCAAAACCCAAAUCUGCAAGUGUCUUGAUCCUGGACUUCUUAGCCUCUAGUUGUGUGAGAAACAAACUUCUGUUGUUUAUAAGCUACCCAGUUCAUGGUACUUUGUUAUAGCAGUCCAUAUGGACAAAGAUAAUAUUCCUUCCAGAGAUUGGAGCCAAAUCUCCUCAUAGAAACAGGAGAAAGAGACAAUAAGGGCUUCCCGUAAACAUUCUUUAUCCUAACAGUUUUGCAAAUUGAUUGGGGAGAGAAGGUGUAAAUACUUAAAGCAAUUGAUAUGGUUUGGCUCUGUCUCCCCACCCAAAUCUCAUCUCAAACUGUAAUUCCCACGUGUUGAAGGUGGGGCCUGGUGGGAAGUGAUUAGAUCAUGGGGGUGGUUUCUAAUUGUUUAGUACCAUCGCCCUAGUGAUGGCUCAUGAGUGAGUUCUCACGAGAUCUGAUGGUUUAAAAGUGUGUGGCACCUCCCACUUUGCACUCUCUCUCCUGUGCCAUGUAAGGCAUGUAUUGCUUCCCCUUUGACUUCCGCCAUGAUUGUAAGUUUCCUGAGGCCUCCCCAGCCAGGUGGAACUGUGAGUCAAUUAGACCUCUUUUCUUUAUAAGUUACCCAGUCUCAGGUAGUUCUGUAUAGUAGUGUGAAAAUGGACUAAUAACAGCAAUUAAGAAACACUUAUAGGGCAAAAUAUUCUGAGAAUAAGACUAUUGGUAAUAAUGUGAAGGAUUCUUAGAAAACAUGGAAUUUGAGAUGAUCUUGGAGAGAUGAAUUAAAUUCAUCAAAAAUCACCCGGUGAUUAUGAAGCACCACGGUGUCCAGCAUUGAGUCCUGAGCUGUAUAAACAAGCAGUCACAAUUUCUACCCUCAAGAAGCUCACAGUCUGAGUCUUCUGGUUCUCAAAUCUAGUUAUACUUUAGGAUCACCUGAGAAGCUUUUUUUAAAAAUGCCCAUAAUCCUGAUUUAAUUGGUCUGAGUGAGUCCUGGCCAUCAGUAUCUUUUAAAGCCUCAGGUGUAGGAAAAGAGUUCUUGAAGAGACAAAACAAAAGAUAAUCAUAAAAGAAAAAAAUGUUUAACUUAAUUAAAAUAAGACUAUUAAAAGACAUCACCAGGAAAGUGAAAAGACAAGCCACAGACUGAUUGAAGAGAUUGACAAUGCAUAUAUCCAACAACUGGAAACAACACAAAUGUCCCUCAAUAGGAGAAUGGAUAAAUAAAUUGUAGUGCAUUGAUACAAGGGGAUACUAGACAACAAUAAAAAUUAUGAACUACUGACACAUGGAACAAGGUAGAUGAAUCUCAUAGGCACUUUAUUGAGAGAAAGAAGACAAAAGAGUACAUACUGAGUAAUUCAAUUGUUAAAAUUUUAAGAACAUAGGUAAAACUAAUUUACGGCAGUCGACAGUCAUCUUUUAGUGACUUAACUGGGAAGGGACACAGCAGAAUGUUAUGAAAAAACUGUGGAUGUUUGUUUUUUGAAUCUCAACCUGGGGGGCAUGAUACAGAAGGUAUAUACAAGGAUAAUCCUUAGAGAAGAUGGCUGGAGCCAUCAGCAACCGACACACCCAGCCACUGGGGGAAAUGAGCAUCUUAGUCCUGGGAGGGAUAUCUGGGCAGAGUCUCAGCAUCCACUACACCCUACACUGCGUGAUCUAAUGUGGAACUUGGGGCUGAGACGUACUGGUCUAAAUCAGUGAUUCUCAAAGGGCAGUCCCUGACAAGCAGCAUCAGCACCAUCUGAGAACUUGUUAGAAAUGCAAAUUAUUGACCCUCUAAUGAAUUGGAAACUCUGGGUUGAGCCUAGCAAUCGGCUUUCGCAAGCCCUCCAGGUGAUUUCAAUACGAACUAAUAUUUGAGAACAACUGGUCCAAAGGGGUUUCACUUGAGAUCGAGAGGGGAUUUUAUUUUUCUUUUCUUUUUUUUUUUUUUUUUUUGAGAAAUGGAAGGAAUCCUGGCAAUGUCACAAAGCAUGUCAAAUAUAACAUGGACAGAGAAUGCAGUUUGGAGAAAAGUGAACGAGAAAACUGUUUAGCAAAUGGGACUAAUUACUAGAUCUUAUUUAAAAUUUUUUUCUCUUAAUCCAAUAGACCAUAUGGAAAUCAUGUAGAUUCUUAAACAGCCUGGCAGAGGAGCAAGGUAAAACACAGGGAAGAGAAUCUCUAUACAGUGAAAAUUCUAAUAGGAGACAUUUGAAAUCAUCUUUGUGAAAAGUAAGGAGGAUAAAAAGUAUGAGUGUUAACAGUAAAAAUGGGAAGGAAAAAAUGACUCUGAGAGACUCCACAAUGAUUUGCAUCAGAAUUUGAAUCUCCAGUGGGGUGAGGAAGCAAAGGUUACUAUAAAGUAUUUUUGUUUUUACAUUAAAAAUAGAGGCAGGGUUUUGCUAUGUUGCCCAGGAUGGUCUCAAAUUCCUAGGCUCAAGUGAUCCUCCCACUUCUGCGUCCCAAAGUGCUGGGAUUACUGGCAUGAGCUACCAUGCCUGGCCACUACAAAGUUUUGAGAUUUUCAUCACUAGGACAAUAGGAGUCACCAACACAAAUGGGGAAGUCAGGAAGAGAAUCCAUACUGAAAGGAACAUGAAUUUUGUCUUCUGUUUUGGAAAGUAAGCCUAUCACAUCCAGGUGGAGCUGUUUUAUAAACAGCUAGAAAUGUAGGACAGGCAGAGUGCAGUGGUUUAUGCCUGUAAUCCCAACACCUUGGGAGGCUGAGGCAGGAGGAUGGUUUGAGCCCAGGAGUUCAAGACCAGGCAGGGCAGCAUAUGAAAAAAUGUCUUACAUGUUGACAGAAAUGUGUUUGGUAGAAGUCAAGCAAAAUGAGGCAUAAGAAAGCAUCAUUGAAUGAUGAUAAAAAUGAGGUCCGAAGUGAUCUUAUUGCAUGUUUUGGUCCAUGUAAACUGAAUCCUACCCAUUUCUCCAACAUGUAACACUCCUAUAACUAGUCACCUUUCCACUUAUACAGUAAGCUAUUCAGGAAAGUGACUUGGAUCUGUUAGAGUGGAAUCCAGAAUGUGACCCAUUUCUUCCCUUUGCAUUUCUUUCCCUCUUUCUGCCUCCUAUCCCCAUCAUUUGUCUGGCUCAUUUCAUCCAUCAGGCCUCAGCUCAACUGGCACUCCUCAAAAAGACUUUCUGUGGCUACUCUCAGGGUCCCCUCUAGUUACCUGUUUAUUUCUCCUACAGUACUUUUAGAGCAAACCCUUCUUAAAAAUAAACUCUAAAAUAUAACUGAGGGCUCUUUUUUUCAGAUGCUUGACUAGCAAUUCAUGUUACUCAUCAUCUUGCUUCCAAUGUUCCACCACAUCUGUUCCUGCCUCUUGGAUUUGGGUACAGACACCUUUCCCAGGGCUUGGAAGUGGCUUUCUAAGAUUUACAUUGAUCAACCUAGGGUUAAAACCCUUUCAGGCUGCUGGCACUUCUGCUUGCGCUAGUGUGAGGGCUUAUCUCACCACUGAAAUGCUGGUUCUCCUGCAGUUGCACUUGGUGGGUCCAGUUUCCCUUUUCUGUAAGCCACAGAGGGUGGGGAAAAGAGCUCUGCCUUUUCCUGUUUCUAUUCACUCUUCUUUCCCCUCUACUCCGUCAGUGUGCCACACCCCAGGCUCCUAGCCUUCUCCAACCCAGCCAAAGGAAGCCUCAGAAGACCGUUCUCAUCUCCCAGUAGGCUCUGGACACUCACAAAUACAAUUCUGAAUUAGCAGUCAAAAAUACGCAUAUAAGUUUUGUUUACAUAGAAUCUCAGCUCUCUCAAAAUCCCCUGUUUACCUCACAACUGGAUUUUACAUGUAUCAACAAGCACAGCAAAAUGCAAGAUAAUUUUUAUGAAAUGUAAACCUCUCUGUGACUUCUAAGGGGAGAAACGUAGUCUUUUGUUCCCAUCUCAGAUCCGCCAGAGUUGCCUACUUAGUUUGAAUACAAAUUUGAGUUACAAUAAAUUAUCCUGAGCCAUUCCAGGCUAACCACUAUUUCGGUUUCCAGAUCAGUCCCCAUUAAACAUCAAAAUUGCAAGACACGUCACCUCAGUGGAGCCACUGCCUUGAUUUGCAAUGUUUGAUCUGGCACCAAUACAGGUUUCUUGACUUCUUAAUAUACUCUUUCUUAUUUUUUCACUAAAAUUAACAAAAAUGAAUUUAGUAUUUUGCUUAAGUAGGAAAUUGAAACAUUCCAAGCGUUACGCAUCUUAAAUUAUGUAAGUAUGCAAGUAUUUUUUUUCUGCUUUCUUUCAUACGCAUUACCACCUCUGCAGGAGAAGUAAAAGUGAAACCCAGCCAGGCGAGGUGGCUCACUCCUGUAAUCCCAGCACUUUGGGAGGCUGAGGUGGGCACAUCAUGAGGUCAGGAGAUCGAGACCAUCCUGGCUAACACUUUGAAACCCGGCUCUAAUAAAAUUACAAAAAAAUUAACCGGGCAUGGUGGCGGGCGCCUGUAGUCCCAGCUACUCGCGAGGCUGUGGCAGGAGAAUGGCGAGAACCCAGGAGGCGGAGCUUGCAGUGAGCCGAGAUCGUGCCACCGCACUCCAGCCUGGGUGACAGAGACAGACUCCAUCUUUAAAAAAAAAAAAAAAAAAGUGAAACCCAAGAAUCCUCUAGCUGUAGGAAAGGAAUGGCUAGAGCCAAGAGAAAAUUAAACUUGACUAAAAUGUGUCAUAUAAUUUCUUAUAUUUCAUUGGGCUAUCAUCCUUCCCUCCCAUGAGCACUGGAUUUAUUUAGGAGGCUUAUCAUCUUACAAGUUACUUUAAUACAAUUGUUCCAGAAAACAGAAGAAUUAUUAGACUUGUAUUUUGAAAAAUAAGCCUCAAACUCAGCAAUAAGAACCCAAAUACCGCAACAAUUAAAAAACGAGCCAAAGGCCAGAUGCAGUAGCUCAUGCCUGUGAUCCCAGCCUUUAAGAGGGAGGACUGCUUGAGACCUGGAGUUUGAGGUCAGCCUGGGAAACAUAGCGAGACCCCAUCUCUACAAAAAAUAAAAAAUUAGUCUAAUGUGGUAGCACAUGCCUGUAGUCCUAGCUACUCAGGAGGCUUAGGCAGGAGGAUCAUUUGAGCCCAGGAGUUUAAGGCUCCAGUGAACUAUGAUUGUGCCACUUGCACUCUAGCCUGGGCGACAGAGUGAGACCUCACCUCUUAAAAAAUAAAGAACCAAAGACCUUAAAAGACACAUCACCAAAGAAGACAUACAGAUGACAAAUAAGCAUAUGAAAAGGUGCUCCAUAUCAUAUGAGAAAUGCAAGUUAAAACAACGAGAAUCCAGAACACUGACAACAUCAAAUACUGGUGAGGAUGUAGAGCUACAGGAACUCUUACUCAUUGCUGGUAGGAAUGCGAAUUGGUACAGCCACUUUGGAAGACAGUUUGCCAGUUUCUUAUAAAAUUAAACAUAUUGUUACCAUGUGAUCCAGUAACCACACUCCUUGAUAUUUACUCAAAGAAGCUGAAAACAUGCCUACACAAAAAUCUGCACACAGAUGCUUAUAGCAGCUUUACUCAUAAUUGCCAAAACUUGGAGGCAACCAAGAUACCCCCAGUAGGUGAAUGGAUAAAUAAACUGUGGUACAUCCAGACAAUGGAAUAUGAUUCAGUGCUAAGAGAAUGAGAUAUCAAGCCAUGAAAAGACAUAGAGGAAACUUACAUAAAUAUUACUAAGUAAAAUAAGGCAGUUUGAAAAGGCUACACACUGUAUAAUUUCAACUAUAUGCCAUUCUAGUGAAGGUAAAACUUAAAGACAGAAAAAAAAAAAUAAUCAGUGCUUGCCAGAGAUAAGUGGGAGGAAGGGAUAGAUAGGUAGGGCACAGAGGAUUUUUAGGGUUCCUGUUGCUCUACUCUGUAUGAUACUAUAGUGAUAGACAUAUAUCAUUAUACAUUUGUCCAUUUGUAUAAUGGGUGAACCAUCAUGUAAACUGUGGAUUCUAGUGAUAAUGAUGUGUACAUGUAGGUUCAUCAUUUGUGACAAAUGUACCACUCUAGUGGGGAUGUUGAUAAUGGAAGAGUCUAUGUAUGUGUGGGGGCGGAAGAUAUAUGGAAAAUAUAUCAUCUAUUCAAUUUUUCUAUGAACCUAAAACUACUCUAAAAUAUAAAGUCUAUUUUUAAAAAUAUGCUUCUGUGUUUUAAAAACAAGGACUGUAGAAUUAUUAAUGUUUUCCAAGAUGAAAAUCACUGUAAUCACUUAUCAAUGAAAGGAAAAUGUUACAUAUUAUCAAUUGGAUUCUAAUAAACAGAAUAUAAUUUAUUUGAAGAAGCACAGAAUUGAUUUAUCUCCAGAGAUGAGUUUAGCUUUCAAAUCAUCAGAGAUACAGAUUACCAACAAUUAAAUACUAUGCUAUAGCAUGGUAGUUUCCAGGCUUCUAAAGUAUAAAAACAUAUUUUCAAUAUCAAAAAUAUUUUCAGAAUGUCACUUCAUAAGUACCAUGUAUUAAUCAUUUAAUAAGAAAAAUGACACCUAAGAGUAGACUAUGAGGCCAUAUGGAAUGAGAUCUUUGCCCAGCAGAGAUGACAGGUACUAACUCUACCAAUCAGAUUCUCCUUAUUGCAAGUUUGAAAUGGAGACACACAAAGUCAUGAACCAGCAGGGAGCCUGAGGGAGCAAAACCCUUGAGUAACCAAGAAGCCUCUCGAAUGAACAGGAGACCAGUUGAGUGGUACUUACCUCCCUCCAACCACAUUUCAUCUGGUUCAUCUUUUUUAUUUAUUUUUGCUUUUCCAGACAAAUAAGAAGGGGCUGGGCAGAGGGAAGUAGAAGUAAGUUAAUUAAUUUAUAGCCUUGGAAGGGGCAGCAGCAGGGCCAGGAAGGAGUUGAGUCACGUUAAUGGCUCAGCAGAGUAGGGACUGCCGGGGUGAACAGAUAACCUAAAGCUGCCUUGAGCCUGUCUGGAAUGAUCUUGCCAGUCCAGAAGGAGUCUGUUCUCCAGGAAGCUCAGGCACAAUUAGGUUCUUAUUUUCCUGCUCAGAGAUGGAGGAGUUCCUGUUCUUGAUACCUCAUCACCUGACUGAGACCCCCCAUCUUCCUUAAUUCCCCCAUUUCCUUGUAAUAAAUACUUCAGAAUUGAGGUAACUUGAGUUUAUCAUUGUUCUUUAUAACUAAAAAUUAUAGCUAGCACAGAAAUUAAAUUUAUUUUGUCAUAAUGAAUAUUUGUCAACCAUGAAGACAAACAAAAAUAUACUUAGCAUUGUACAUUAUUUUUCUUGCUCCUCCUACUUUUUAUCUUUUUAAAAGGAAAGCAGAAGGCAGUCUUUUAGGUGAUAAGCAAUUGUAAAAUAAAGAAAACCUACCUUCUGUUUUAAUCACUGGUACAGUAAAUGUAUUCUUUCUCAAUGGGAUAUAGUUACCUAUAAAUGAGGCUCUUUUAGGAGUUUAGAAUACUUUCCCUUAAAGUUUCAAAUGUUUGUAGUGUAAAUAACCAAUUUCACUGAUGUUUAGAAGGGAAGGUAGAGGCCGGGCGCGGUGGCUCACACCUGUAAUCCCAGCACUUUGGGAGGCCGAGGCAGGCAGAUCACGAGGUCAGGAGAUCGAGACCAUCCUGGCUAACAUGGUGAAACCUUGUCUCUACUAAAAAUACAAAAAAUUAGCCAGACGUGGUGGCGGGCACCUGUAGUCCCAGCUACUUGGGAGGCUGAGGUAGGAGUAUGGUGUGAACCUGGGAGGUGGAGGUUGCAGUGAGCCAAGGUCGUGCCACUGUACUCCAGCCUGGGCGAUAAAGCGAGACUCUGUCUCAAAAAAAAAAAAAAAAAAGGGAAGGUAGAGAGGAAUGUUAUGAUUCACAUUCACAAGCAUCAUGAAUGGUUCUCUUCAAAAGUUCAUUUGGAUAAAAAUUUGGCCUAAUUUGGAAGUACUGGUUCCAGUUACUGAUUACAGAGCCUAUUUUUAUAUAACAUGUUUCAAAUUUGUUACUUUUGCUAAUAAGUGUGUGAUAAUCAUGUCUGUGUGUGUGAAUUGUUUCAAGGUUUAUCAUUCUAUUAAAGUUAGGGUUAUGCAAUGUGGCAGAAUUAUAAUAUUGAUAGUGUAAUGUGAUUUAAUCUAGAAUUCAAUGACUAUCUUGUUGAGGGUGCCUACUAGAAUUAGAAUUUUUUUAUACAAGACAAAUGAAUGUUCACUUUCAUGUUCAACAAUUGAGUAAAUGAUCUGUAAUUUUAGGAUAUCUAAUCCAUCAAGGACAUUGCAGCAUGGUUAUCUUAAAUAUUUAUCACUGAAGAGAAUCCAAUUAAUCAUCCCAAAUCAUAUUUCCACUUAUAUAGGCCUCCAACAUUUCUACCUUCCAUUUUUAUUCUUCAGACUAUCCAGGUGUACUGGGUUUAAGAAUCAAAGUGUUUAAAGGGUAUAUCUUCACAUUCUGAUAUUACUGUUUUACUAUAUCACUUUUUUGGAGCGUUUGUUUGCUUAUCGUUGCUGUACCCCCAACAAAAACCUGGAUGCCUAAUAAAGAACCAGGCAAAUCAUUGCAAAA